GCGGGCGUGGUCUAGUGGUUAUGACGUCUGCUUUACACGCAGAAGGUCCCGGGUUCAAUCCCCGGCGCCCGUA